rnacentral:lncRNA from 1 species
CGAUGAUGGCUGGAACCGAGAGUUCGAAGUCUGAAGAAGUCGAGCUUCCUUAGAGCUUUUUACCUUUUAUUCUAUGUAUUCCUAAGUCUACAAAUCUGAUGUCUGACUGAUCUGGUUCAGGUCAGCACAAUGUCAUAUCUGACUAACCUAGUCAGUAUGGGUGAACUCAAGUCAACAAGUAACCUAAUACAAAACGUAAUCUUCCAAAAUGAUCGGGUAAGUAAAGAUCAGUAGGGGUCCCCC